UUUAUUCCCUGCUUUAAAAUCCGUACUCAUCAUUAUUCUUGCUUUGAAAUCCAUACUUAUCAUUAUUCACGCUUUGAAAUAUGUACUAUUAUUAUUCAUGCUUUGAAAUCUGUGCUUGUAAUAAAGUAACAUUUCAUAUAAUCAAACCUUUACCAUAAUCAAACUAGUUAUAAAACUAUGCCUGUCCAUUCAUGCAACUUCAUAAAUAUGAUUAUGCAUCAUAAAACUUUUGCCAUUUAUGCAUCGUAAAACUUUUGUCAUUUAUGCAUCAUAAAACUUUUGCCAUUUAUGCAACAUAAAACUUUUGCCAUUUAUGCAACAUAAAACUUUUGCAAUUAUUCCAUACUUUGAAAUUCAUACUCUCAGAUGGUAGUGUAGCUAUGGCCGCUCUUAUUCCCACGGCAAGGCCUUUACCACUGCAGGGUCAUCUUCCAGUUACUAUUACCCACUGGCGGGGGUCGUAAAGCCAAGUUACUUUUACCCACUGGCGGGGUUAUAUGCCUAGUUA
rnacentral:lncRNA from 1 species